rnacentral:lncRNA from 1 species
CCGUGAUUGCUCGUCGAGUACCCAUAUCUUACAUACCCGCCAUGCCAACUCGUAACUGCUCAUAAACCUCCAAACCAGGCUCCUACACCCACUGCAAUUGACUUUACAACUCACUAUCAUUACGUUUUUCAUUCAGGCUCGUCCUCGCUCACCACUUGACAACCACCAUCGAUUGGACUAAAACCGCUCUGCGAACACCAACUACCACCACCAAACUUCUUCACCACUGGUACAGUUCGCCCACUACGGUCAGUUUACGUUUUCUACAUCUCAGGGGGCUCUUAGCAUAGCAAAGCACCUAAACUUAGCGCAAGAGUCACCUGAUGAGGCCCUGGCAAGGCCGAAACGCGUCGUGACGUGCCUUGCUAAAUAUAGCUUCAGCGGCUUUCUUUAGGUCAGCUUGCACUCGCUUAGCAGCCCAUCUAGUUCUCUUCCCGCUACAACUAGAUUUCCUUUUUUCACUACCUUCCUCGCACUACACCUAUAAAACUCUCAACUUAGACCAAACCCCUCCCAGCACUUAUCUUUCCUUAACACUCCUUCACCUCAGCCACAACUCCACCUCUAGUUCUUUACACCUCACCUAUACACAAAAACUACUUUCAAGCCCUCCACACACAACAUACCUUCAAUAAAUUUAUACUCGUCGCUUUUUAUCCCCUCAGUCUAAACCUUCCAAACCUCUCUCACAAAACUUACCUAUUUCUCAACCCUAGCUAAUCACCCCUAAAACAGACUCUAUAACACAUACCUCUCUUUCCAGCUUCUCCUCUUUAGUUUUUCGAUUCUUUUCGACUAAUACGACCUUCUAACUCAUUACUUUAACUCUAACCUUUAACUUUUACUUUUUACUUUUACCUUUAAUCUACACCUCCGAUUUUUCUUAAAAGUUUUUCCUGAUCCUAAAAAGUUUUUUAUGAAUUCCUAAAAAGUUUUUUAAGUUUUCCAGAACUUCACAAGUAAUUUAGUUAAAAUAAUUUUUCUUUUUUCUUUUUUCUUUUUACCAGAAAUAAAAAAAAAUUAAAGAUUUUUGCACUAACGAAGGGUUGACCUAAGUACCAUCUACCAUCUACCAGCAGCAGCAGCAGCAGCAGCAGCAGCAAGAGCAAGGAAGUUACAUUCGGGUACUGCCGUGAAGCGGUUGGUAUGUAGGCCUUGUUUUGUCGCUUCGGGGUGGUGUGCCCAGUUCAACUGACGAUGAUUGACAGCGACACCUCGGUAAGCCUGAAUGCAAAUACUCGC